UUCCUCUAUUUAUAGAGUCCUAAACCUUUUCCUACAAGAAAAGGAUUAGUCAAUUCAAAACUUUUUCCUAAAAGGAAAACCUAUUUAUGGUAAGAAAUUAAGGACAAAUAAAACCUAACAAGGAAGACACAUAUGAAUGGACAGAGAAGGGGGAUGCCUCAAGGUAGACAAGAAAAUGAUAACACAUGCAAUGAAAGAAAGAUGUCUCAACACAACCAAGUAAAUGAAGGCACAAAAUAGAGGAAGAGACAGAGGAAUAGGUAUGUCUCAAGAAAAUUACGAGAAUGAAGGCACUAGUGGUGGACAGACUUCAAGACCUUUUAAAAGGCCAAGGAUGGCAGGAUUUGGAAUAUUGGUUGGUGAUAAUGAUUUUACAACUCUUAAUAAGGGUUGUUGAUACUGGUACAAGAGUUUCAAAGAGGUCUGAUGAGGUUACUGGAGAUAUUGACUAUCAACCACGUUUUGAAGUGAAAUGGAUAGGAGAAUCAACCAUUAUCAAGAAUAGGCUUCAACAAAUGAGGGGUGAAAAAAGAAUUCAAACAAGGUCUGAAAUUAUUGCUAAUAAUCAAAGCCAAAGAAAUUCAACUAUAAAUAAGACCAAUUUUCCAGGAAAAUAGUUGACUUUGGUGUUGUUAUUGUUGUGUUAUUUACACUUUUCUUAAUAUUAAACUAUAUUUUGGUGUAUUAUUGGGUAUCAAUUGUGUGUUGCCAAAUUUAUUUAGGCAACAACUCUCUUCAUUGUGACAUUUAAUCAAAGUUGUAUCAACUUCAAACUUUCAAUAAGGAUGAAGUGAAGUUCUCAUUUGUUA